rnacentral:rRNA from 1 species
GACGAACGCUGGCGGCGUGCCUAAUACAUGCAAGUCGAACGCAGUGGGGACGGGUGAGUAACACGUGGGUAACCUCCCAUCAGAGGGGAUAACACUUGGAAACAGGUGCUAAACCGAUACUGAUGGAUGGACCCGCGGUGCAUUAGCUAGUUGGUGAGGUAACGGCUCACCAAGGCCACGAUGCAUAGGCGACCUGAGAGGGGUAUUGGCCAACACGGGAAUGAUACAAGGCCCAAACUCCUAAGGGAGGCAGCAGGUGGGAAUCUUCGGCAAUGGACGAAAGUCUGAACGAGCAAACCCGGGGGAGUGAAGAAGGUUUUCGGAUCGUAAAACUCCGUUGGUAGAGAAGCCGGAUCUAACCCGAAAGCCACGGCUAACCAAGUGCCAGCCGCCGCGGUAAUUC